GAUGAAUAACGUAGCAAAAUGCGAUAAGUAAUGUGAAUUGCAGAAUUCAGUGAAUCAUCGAAUCUUUGAACGCACAUUGCGCCCGCUGGUAUUCCGGCGGGCAUGCCUGUUCGAGCGUCAUUUCAACCCUCAAGCCCCCGGGUUUGGUGUUGGGGAUCGGCUCUGCCCUUCUGGGCGGUGCCGCCCCCGAAAUACAUUGGCGGUCUCGCUGCAGCCUCCAUUGCGUAGUAGCUAACACCUCGCAACUGGAACGCGGCGCGGCCAUGCCGUAAAACCCCAACUUCUGAAUGUUGACCUCGGAUCAGGUAGGAAUACCCGCUGAACUUAAGCAUAUCAAUAAGCGGAGGA
rnacentral:misc_RNA from 1 species